AUUGAACGCCGGCGGCAGGCCUAACACAUGCAAGUCGAGCGGCAGCGGGAAAGUAGCUUGCUACUUUUGCCGGCGAGCGGCGGACGGGUGAGUAAUGCCUGGGGAUCUGCCCAAUCGAGGGGGAUAACUACUGGAAACGGUAGCUAAUACCGCAUACGCCCUACGGGGGAAAGCAGGGGACCUUCGGGCCUUGCGCGAUUGGAUGAACCCAGGUGGGAUUAGCUAGUUGGUGAGGUAAUGGCUCACCAAGGCGACGAUCCCUAGCUGGUCUGAGAGGAUGAUCAGCCACACUGGAACUGAGACACGGUCCAGACUCCUACGGGAGGCAGCAGUGGGGAAUAUUGCACAAUGGGGGAAACCCUGAUGCAGCCAUGCCGCGUGUGUGAAGAAGGCCUUCGGGUUGUAAAGCACUUUCAGCGAGGAGGAAAGGUUGGUAGCUAAUAACUGCCAGCUGUGACGUUACUCGCAGAAGAAGCACCGGCUAACUCCGUGCCAGCCGCCGCCUGUAAUAC
rnacentral:rRNA from 1 species